UGCCGAGCCAAGGGGUGCCUGGUUAUGAUGGUUUAUUAUGCGUUAUACGGAUAAUAAACCAUCAAAACCGUGCUGAGACGAAAGAUUCGAACCCUUAGAACCUGAACCGGAUAGUACUGGCGUAGGAAUGGUUGAAAAAUAGCCU
rnacentral:ncRNA from 1 species